rnacentral:rRNA from 1 species
UGGAAGUAAAAGUCGUAACAAGGUCUCCGUUGGUGAACCAGCGGAGGGAUCAUUACCGAGUUAUACAACUCAUCAACCCUGUGAACAUACCUAUAACGUUGCCUCGGCGGGAACAGACGGCCCCGUAACACGGGCCGCCCCCGCCAGAGGACCCCCUAACUCUGUUUCUAUAAUGUUUCUUCUGAGUAAACAAGCAAAUAAAUUAAAACUUUCAACAACGGAUCUCUUGGCUCUGGCAUCGAUGAAGAACGCAGCGAAAUGCGAUAAGUAAUGUGAAUUGCAGAAUUCAGUGAAUCAUCGAAUCUUUGAACGCACAUUGCGCCCGCCAGUAUUCUGGCGGGCAUGCCUGUUCGAGCGUCAUUACAACCCUCAGGCCCCCGGGCCUGGCGUUGGGGAUCGGCGGAAGCCCCCUGCGGGCACAACGCCGUCCCCCAAAUACAGUGGCGGUCCCGCCGCAGCUUCCAUUGCGUAGUAGCUAACACCUCGCAACUGGAGAGCGGCGCGGCCACGCCGUAAAACACCCAACUUCUGAAUGUUGACCUCGAAUCA